CAGUCGAGGGGCAGCGGGGGUGCAGGCUUGCCUGCACCUGCCGGCGACCGGCGCACGGGUGAGUAACACGUAUGGAACCUGCCCGCCACAGGGGGAUAACCCGGGGAAACCCGGCCUAAUACCCCAUGCCGCCCGGACCGGGCAUCCGGUCCGGGCGAAAGGAGGAAUCCGGUGGCGGCUGGGCAUGCGGCGCAUUAGCUUGACGGCGGGGUAACGGCCCACCGUGGCGACGAUGCGUAGGGGUUCUGAGAGGAAGGCCCCCCACACUGGAACUGAGACACGGUCCAGACUCCUACGGGAGGCAGCAGUGAGGAAUAUUGGUCAAUGGGCGGAAGCCUGAACCAGCCAAGUCGCGUGAGGGAAUAAGGCCCUACGGGUCGUAAACCUCUUUUGCCGGGGAGCAAGGGCCGGGACGUGUCCCGGCCCGGAGAGUACCCGGAGAAAAAGCAUCGGCUAACUCCGUGCCAGCAGCCGCGGUAAUACGGAGGAUGCGAGCGUUAUCCGGAUUUAUUGGGUUUAAAGGGUGCGUAGGCGGGCUUUUAAGUCAGCGGUAAAAAUUCGGGGCUCAACCCCGUCCGGCCGUUGAAACUGGGGGCCUUGAGUGGGCGAGAAGAAGGCGGAAUGCGUGGUGUAGCGGUGAAAUGCAUAGAUAUCACGCAGAACCCCGAUUGCGAAGGCAGCCUUCCGGCGCCCUACUGACGCUGAGGCACGAAAGUGCGGGGAUCGAACAGGAUUAGAUACCCUGGUAGUCCGCACAGUAAACGAUGGAUACCAGCUGUCCGGGCCGAAUGGGGCCUGGGUGGCAAAGCGAAAGCGUUAAGCAUCCCACCUGGGGAGUACGC
rnacentral:rRNA from 1 species